rnacentral:rRNA from 1 species
UACAGAGGUCCCAAGCGUUACUGAGAAUCUCUGGGUUUAAAGGGUGCGUAGGUGGUCCGUUAAGUCAGUUGUGAAAUCCCCGGGCUCAACCCGGGAAAUGCUUCUGAUACUGGCGGACUUGAGGCCAGUAGGGGUCACUAGAACUGACGGUGGAGCGGUGAAAUGCGUAGAUAUCGUCAGGAAUGCCGGUGGUGAAGACGGGUGACUGGGCUGGUUCUGACACUGAGGCACGAAAGCGUGGGGAGCGAACGGG